UGGGGAGGGGGCGUGUUCCGCGGGGCUGGCCCGCCGAGGCUCCGCCUCCACAAGCUCCCAGCCAAUGGGAGCCGGGGCGCCGAACGGCCAGGGGGCGGGGCGCGCGGGGCCAGCCCCGACGGGACCUUUGUGUCCGCCCGCGGGACUGGCGGGAGCGCGGCCCCUCGUCCCGCGCGGGAGCCGGGAGGAUGCCCGCCCGUGCUGCACCUACGGUCGGAACAUUCCCCUGAAAAGUGGAGGUCCCGUUCAGGUCCCUCCCCUAACAACCCGCGGCAGGUCCGGGCCUAGCUGACCUCCGCUCCAGGAUCCGCAAGGCCCGCGGCGCCUCCGUUUCAGCGGAGAAAAAGAGCUCCAGGAACGAUGAGAAGGAAUAAAAAGAGAGGAGAGGAAAUUGAGGCAUGGAGAUAGGUGACCACACCCCGUCCCCUGCCUGGCCACUGCAAGUCUCUGCAAGAGGAGCCCCUAAAAGCCAGCCCAGCCCUGGACCGUGGCUCACACACCACUGAGGACACAGCAAGAAUACAGCUGUCCCCAAGCCAGGAAGAGGGUCCUCCACCAGGAACCAAAUCUCGGGCAUUCUGAACUUGGACUUCCCAGGUUCCAAAAACGUGUCGCCCUUAGCAAUGACCACAGCCACCCAGUUCUGCCCCCUACAAUGUGCCAGGCACACUGGACACCUUCAACUCUGAAGACCAGCACAGGUUGACUUCUGAAACCCUCGUCACAACCCAGAAGAACACGCUCUGGGGACGGGGAAAUGAGGCUCAGACAGAGGUAACUGUCGCCAAAAUCGAACCAUGUUGGGGCGCCUGGGUGGCUCAGCCGGUUGAACAUCCGACUUCGGCUCAGGUCAUGAUCUCAUGGCUCCAUGAGUUCGAGCCCCGCGUCAGGCUCUGUGCUGACAGCUCAGAGCCUGAAGCCUGCUUCAGAUUCUAUGUCUCCUUCUCUCUCUGCCCCUCCCCUGCUCACGCUUUGUCUCACUCUGUUUCUCAAAAACAAAUGUAAAAAAAAAAAAAUUAAAAAUCGACGCGGUGGACUCGUAAAUAGAACAAACAGGGCUGCUGGAGGGGUUGUGGGUGGGGGAUGGGCCAAGUGGGUAAAGGGCAUAAGGGAGGACACUUGUUGGGAUGAACACUGGGUGUUACCCACCGGGGAUGGAUCACUGGAAUGUACUCCUGAAAUCACUAUAGCACCAUAUGCUAACUAACUUGGAUGUCAAUUAAAAAAGUAACUGAUUAAAAUAAAUAAAUAAAAGUUGAACCAGGUGGUUAUGGUAG